AAACUAGGAUUAGAUACCCCUAUUAUUAAAAUUUAAAUUGAAAAUACUAAAAUAGUAGAUAAUUAUUUAUUGAAACUUAAAUAAUUUGGCGGUAUUUUAGUUCAUUUAGAGGAAUCUGUUUAAUAAUUGAUAAUCCCCGAAUAAAUUUACUUAAUUUUUUAUUUUGUAUAUCGUUGUUAAAAAAAUAUUUUUUAAUAAUAAUAAUAUUUAAAAAUUUUGAUUAAAAAUUAAAUCAGAUCAAGAUGCAGAUUAUAAUUAAGAAUAUAAUGGAUUACAAUAAAUUUAUUUAGA
rnacentral:rRNA from 1 species